rnacentral:rRNA from 1 species
CCCUACGGGGCUCAGCAGGCGCGAAAACUUUACAAUGCGGGAAACCGUGAUAAGGGACUCCGAGUGCCGUAAAUCGGGCUGUCCUCUGUUUAAUAACAGGUGAAGAAAGGGCCGGGCAAGACCGGUGCCAGCCGCCGCGGUAAUACCGGCGGCUCGAGUGGUGGCCACUAUUACUGGGCUUAAAGCGUUCGUAGCUGGUCUGUUAAGUCUCUGGGGAAAUCUGCCGGCUUAACCGGCAGGCGUCUCAGGGAUACUGGCAGACUAGGGACCGGGAGAGGUGAGAGGUACUCCAGGGGUAGGAGU